AGUCUAGUGCUCGCGCACCCAGGAAUGCUCGUCUAAUUUAUGGACUCCAUACUCCUCCAUUGCUUUUAAUUAGUCGGGAAUAAAUAUAAUCGCCAGCAGAGCUAGAUCCCAAUCUGUCCGGCUGCAACAAAGUCGCCUGCAGCCAAGCAGCCAGGCAGCGAUCACGUCGAAGAUAUCGCUAUCGAUUCCAGCGCUCGGGGCCCCCAGUCCGUACCCAAAUCGGAGAAUCGGGCGGUCACGGUGACGGGGAGCCUUUGUGCUUAAUCACCCAGCGGACGGUGGACCUUUGAAGUGGCCUUUGGGGCCGCCGUGGGUUAAUUGCGAGCCGCUCAUUGGGUGGCAAAUCAAUUUAAGAGCAGCAAGAAACAGUGCUUCGUUGGCAUUCCAUUCCUGGAAUUCCCCUUUUCCCGGCAGUGGUGGUCAGGUGGUCAGGUGGUCAGGUGCUCGGGCGACCCUCAAUGUCAGCGUUCGACAGAAAUUCGUAUAGCAUGAGUAUCUGGAUAGUGUUGAACUAAUUCACUAAUUAAACCAAAUGUUUCAUAAGUGCGAAUUAAUACCACAGCUGUGAGUCAAGGUGACAGUCGUUAUUGGCAACCCAAAGUCCCGGCUUCACAGAAGACCACAUUAAAUGGCUUUUAUUAAUGAUUAUGAUUUCGCAUACAUUAAACCCUCUGGCCGCAGUGGCUUUGGACCCAGGCCCAAAGAGCGGCCCAGUGGCCCACAAUGUGAAACUGGCGCGCGCAUAAUGAUUAGUCCAAGAGCAGAUGGAUGAGGGCAGAGGACAGAGGGCGGAGGGCAGAGACGAAAACAAUACUGGAAUAAAUGACGAAAACUUAUUUUUGAAAUUCAAAUCGAAGCGCAGUCGAGGCCCUUUGGGUCUGCCUGCGAGUCUGGGCCCAAGUGGAUUUCUUUGUAUGCCUGGGCACGCCGGCGACAACUGGGAACUUUAAUUAAAAUAAACGUUUGCGGGCCAAAUUAGCAUAUCAAAAGACCCAACUCAGCCCAGUCAGUCAGCCAAGUCAGUCAAGUAAUCCACUCAGUCAGCUCAGACGGGAAAGGUGGCUCGGACUCCCGAUGGUUUUACGAUUUUCCGCCGUUUUGGUCCCGGCAUUUGCAUUAUAAAUAAGUUUUGUUUUCGCCGGCAUGCGUAAUUUGAUGCACUGAAGCUGGGCGAAACUACAAUUAAUCGUUAGAAAAAUGCCAUAAAUUAGAUUACCCGGCGAAAUGCGACGCAAGCUUUGCGCCGAUUAUCGCCAGUUCGAACAAAAAUAUAACCUGCAGCCCAUAGCACACACAUAAAUGUAAUCAGGGGUUUGUAUAACUGGAGGCGAACAAUGAGGCCAUAAUUUAAGGCAUAAUGGCCGAAAUCCGACUGGGCCUGCACCGCA